rnacentral:rRNA from 1 species
AGUGAACGCUGGCGGCGUGCCUAAUACAUGCAAGUCGAACGAAGUGGCGCACGGGCGAGUAAUAUAUAGUUAAUCUGCUCUACACAGAGGAACAACAGAUGGAAACGGCUGCUAAUACCUCAUAGUGUAGGCUGAGACUAUAUCGUAUCAGCUAGUUGGUAAGGUAAUGGCUUACCAAGGCUAUGACGCGUAACUGGUCUGAGAGGAUGAUCAGUACCAUUUGAACGGAGACACAGUCCAAACACCGAAGAUAGGCAGCAGUAAGGAAUAUUGCGCAAUGGGAGAAGCCCUAACGAAGCAACGCGGCAUGAAGGAUGGCACUUGUCGAAGCAUAAACACCGUUAAUCAAGAAAGCGGUACCUGAUGAAUAAGCACCGGAUAACUCCGUGACAGCAACCGCGGUAAUAC